UGAGCUCACUCGUCUUCACUUUGGU
rnacentral:piRNA from 1 species